UAACAGCUCAAAUUUGAAAUCUGGCUCCUGCGGAGUCCGAGUUGUAAUUUGUAGAAGAUGCUUUGGGAGGUAGGCUCGGCCUAAGUUCCUUGGAACAGGACAUCAGAGAGGGUGAGAAUCCCGUAUGUGGCCGUGGCCUACGCCCGUGUAAAGCUCUUUCGACGAGUCGAGUUGUUUGGGAAUGCAGCUCAAAAUGGGUGGUAAAUUUCAUCUAAAGCUAAAUAUUGGCCAGAGACCGAUGAUCGAAAGAUGAAAAGCACUUUGGAAAGAGAGUUAAACAGUACGUGAAAUUGUUGAAAGGGAAGCGCUUGCACCCAGACUUGGGCGUCGUCGAUCAUCCGAGGUUCUCCUCGGUGCACUCGGCGAGGCACAGGCCAGCAUCGGUUUGGAUGGUUGGAGAAAGGCUCUAGGAACGUAGCUCUCUUCGGGGAGUGUUAUAGCCUAGGGCGUAAUGCAGCCCAUCUGGACCGAGGACCGCGCCUUCGGGCUAGGAUGCUGGCGUAAUGGUUGCAAGCGACCCGUCUUGAAACACGGACCAAGGAGUCUAACAUCUAUGCGAGUGUUUGGGCGUUAAACCCAUACGCGGAAUGAAAGUGAACGUAGGUGAGAACCCGUCUGGGUGCAUCAUCGACCGAUCCUGAUGUCUUCGGAUGGAUUU
rnacentral:rRNA from 1 species